AUUGAACGCUGGCGGCAGGCUUAACACAUGCAAGUCGAGCGGAGAGAGGUAGCUUGCUACUGAUCUUAGCGGCGGACGGGUGAGUAAUGCUUAGGAAUCUGCCUAUUAGUGGGGGACAACAUUUCGAAAGGAAUGCUAAUACCGCAUACGUCCUACGGGAGAAAGCAGGGGAUCUUCGGACCUUGCGCUAAUAGAUGAGCCUAAGUCGGAUUAGCUAGUUGGUGGGGUAAAGGCCUACCAAGGCGACGAUCUGUAGCGGGUCUGAGAGGAUGAUCCGCCACACUGGGACUGAGACAAGGCCCAGACUCCUACGGGAGGCAGCAGUGGGGAAUAUUGGACAAUGUGCGCAAGCCUGAUCCAGCCAUGCCGCGUGUGUGAAGAAGGCCUUAUGGUUGUAAAGCACUUUAAGCGAGGAGGAGGCUACUUUAGUUAAUACCUAGAGAUAGUGGACGUUACUCGCAGAAUAAGCACCGGCUAACUCUGUGCCAGCCGCCGCAGUAA
rnacentral:rRNA from 1 species